rnacentral:rRNA from 1 species
UACAGAGGGUGCGAGCGUUAAUCGGAAUUACUGGGCGUAAAGCGCACGUAGUCGGCUUUGCAAGUCGGGUGUGAAAUCCCCGGGCUCAACCUGGGAAUUGCAUUCGAGACUGAAUAGCUAGGGUACGGUAGAGGGAAGCGGAAUUUCCGGUGUAGCGGUGAAAUGCGUAGAUAUCGGAAGGAACAUCAGUGGCGAAAGCGGCUUCCUGGACCAGUACCGACGUUCAGGCACGAAAGCGUGGGGAGCAAACAGG